ACGAACGCUGGCGGCGUGCUUAACACAUGCAAGUCGAACGGAAAGGCCCUGCUUUUGUGGGGUGCUCGAGUGGCGAACGGGUGAGUAACACGUGAGUAACCUGCCCUUGACUUUGGGAUAACUUCAGGAAACUGGGGCUAAUACCGGAUAGGAGCUCCUGCUGCAUGGUGGGGGUUGGAAAGUUUCGGCGGUUGGGGAUGGACUCGCGGCUUAUCAGCUGGUUGGUGGGGUAGUGGCUUACCAAGGCUUUGACGGGUAGCCGGCCUGAGAGGGUGACCGGCCACAUUGGGACUGAGAUACGGCCCAGACUCCACGGGAGGCAGCAGUGGGGAAUAUUGCACAAUGGGCGGAAGCCUGAUGCAGCAACGCCGCGUGCGGGAUGACGGCCAUCGGGUUGUAAACCGCUUUCGCCUGUGACGAAGCGUGAGUGACGGUAAUGGGUAAAGAAGCACCGGCUAACUACGUG
rnacentral:rRNA from 1 species